rnacentral:rRNA from 1 species
GACGAACGCUGGCGGCGUGCUUAACACAUGCAAGUCGAGCGGAAAGGCCCUUUCGGGGGUACUCGAGCGGCGAACGGGUGAGUAACACGUGAGUAAUCUGCCCCUGGCUUUGGGAUAGCCACCGGAAACGGUGAUUAAUACCGGAUACGACCACUUCUCACCUGGGAUGGGGGUGGAAAGUUUUUCGGCCAGGGAUGUGCUCGCGGCCUAUCAGCUUGAUGGUGAGGGAAUGGCUCACCAUGGCUUCGACGGGUAGCCGGCCUGAGAGGGUGACCGGUCACACUGGGACUGAGACACGGCCCAGACGCCUACGGGAGGCAGCAGUGGGGAAUAUUGGACAAUGGGCGGAAGCCUGAUCCAGCAACGCCGCGUGAGGGAUGACGGCCUUCGGGUUGUAAACCUCUUUCAGCAGGGACGAAGCGCAAGUGACGGUACCUGCAGAAGAAGCACCGGCCAACUACGUGCCAGCAGCCGCCGUAA